rnacentral:rRNA from 1 species
UGGGGAAUUUUGGGCAAUGGGGGAAACCCUGAUCCAGCCAUCCCGCGUGUGCGAUGAAGGCCUUCGGGUUGUAAAGCACUUUUGGCAGGAAAGAAACGUCAUGGGUUAAUACCCCGUGAAACUGACGGUACCUGCAGAAUAAGCACCGGCUAACUACGUGCCAGCAGCCGCGGUAAUACGUAGGGUGCAAGCGUUAAUCGGAAUUACUGGGCGUAAAGCGUGCGCAGGCGGUUCGGAAAGAAAGAUGUGAAAUCCCAGAGCUCAACUUUGGAACUGCAUUUUUAACUACCGGGCUAGAGUGUGUCAGAGGGAGGUGGAAUUCCGCGUGUAGCAGUGAAAUGCGUAGAUAUGCGGAGGAACACCGAUGGCGAAGGCAGCCUCCUGGGAUAACACUGACGCUCAUGCACGAAAGCGUGGGGAGCAAACAGG